rnacentral:rRNA from 1 species
AAGAAAAAAGAAAUGGAAAAAAA